UACGGAGGAUGCAAGCGUUAUCCGGAAUCAUUGGGCGUAAAGCGUCCGCAGGUGGCAGUUCAAGUCUGCUGUCAAAGACUGGGGCUUAACCCUAGAAAGGCAGUGGAAACUGAACAGCUAGAGUGCGGUAGGGGUAGAGGGAAUUCCCGGUGUAGCGGUGAAAUGCGUAGAGAUCGGGAAGAACAUCGGUGGCGAAAGCGCUCUACUGGACCGCAACUGACACUCAGGGACGAAAGCUAGGGGAGCGAAUGGG
rnacentral:rRNA from 1 species